rnacentral:rRNA from 1 species
UACAGAGGGCCCGAGCGUUGCGCGGAUUCAUUGGGCUUAAAGCGUGUGCAGGCGGACCCGUAAGUGCCUUGUGAAAGCCCACAGCUCAACUGUGGAAUCGCUUGGUAGACUGCGGGUCUUGAGAUUGGUAGGGGUCGCCGGAACUCUAGGUGGAGCGGUGAAAUGCGUAGAUAUCUGGAGGAAUACCGGUGGCGAAGGCGGCAUCCUGGACCGACAUUGACGCUGAACGGCGAAAGCUAGGGGAGCAAACGGG